CAACUUAGUAUGUGUGAUAUU
rnacentral:miRNA from 15 species